GGGGGGGGGGGGGGGGGGGGGGGGGGGGGGGGGGGGGGGGGGGGGGGGGGGGGGGGGGGCGCGGGCGGGGGGGGGGGGGGGGGCGGGGGGGGGGGACAGCGGGAGCGACUUUUUCGGGGGGGGGCACGGAGGGAAACGUACGCUAAUACCGCAUACGACCUACGGGUGAAAGCAGGGGAGCUGCGGACCUUGCGCGAUUGAAUGAGCCGAUGCCGGAUUAGCUAGUUGGCGGGGUAAAGGCCCACCAAGGCGACGAUCCGUAGCUGGUCUGAGAGGAUGAUCAGCCACACUGGAACUGAGACACGGUCCAGACUCCUACGGGAGGCAGCAGGGGGGAAUAUUGGACAAUGGGCGCAAGCCUGAUCCAGCCAUACCGCGUGGGUGAAGAAGGCCUUCGGGUUGUAAAGCCCUUUUGUUGGGAAAGAAAAGCAGCAGGUUAAUACCCCGCUGUUCUGACGGUACCCAAAGAAUAAGCACCGGCUAACUUCGU
rnacentral:rRNA from 1 species